GCUGAAACUACGCCUACAUGAAGCUGGAGUUGCUAGUAAUCGCGAAUCAGCAUGUCGCGGUGAAUACGUUCCCGGGCCUUGUACACACCGCCCGUCACACCAUGAGAGUUGGCAAUACCCAACGUACGUGAUCUAACCCGCAAGGGAGGAAGCGUCCUAAGGUAGGGUCAGCGAUUGGGGUGAAGUCGUAACAAGGUAUC
rnacentral:rRNA from 1 species